rnacentral:rRNA from 1 species
UACGUAGGGUGCAAGCGUUGUCCGGAAUUAUUGGGCGUAAAGGGCGCGUAGGCGGUCGUGACAAGUCACUUGUGAAAUCUCCGGGCUUAACUCGGAACGGUCAAGUGAUACUGUCGGACUAGAGUACAGAAGGGGCAACUGGAAUUCUCGGUGUAGCGGUGAAAUGCGUAGAUAUCGAGAGGAACACCUGCGGCGAAGGCGGGUUGCUGGGCUGAUACUGACGCUGAGGCGUGAAAGCCAGGGGAGCGAACGGG